UACGUAGGCAGCGAGCGUUGUUCGGAGUUACUGGGCGUAAAGGGUGUGUAGGCGGUUGUUUAAGUUUGGUGUGAAAUCUCCCGGCUCAACUGGGAGGGUGCGCCGAAUACUGAAUGACUAGAGUGCGGGAGAGGAUAGUGGAAUUCCUGGUGUAGCGGUGAAAUGCGCAGAUAUCAGGAGGAACACCAAUGGCGAAGGCAGCACUCUGGGACGUGACUGACGCUGAGACGCGAAAGCGUGGGGAGCAAACAGG
rnacentral:rRNA from 1 species